UUGGUAGAAAAAAAUAUGCGC
rnacentral:piRNA from 1 species